AGUGAACGCUGGCGGUAGGCCUAACACAUGCAAGUCGAACGGCAGCACAGGAGAGCUUGCUCUCUGGGUGGCGAGUGGCGGACGGGUGAGGAAUACAUCGGAAUCUACUUUUUCGUGGGGGAUAACGUAGGGAAACUUACGCUAAUACCGCAUACGACCUACGGGUGAAAGCAGGGGACCUUCGGGCCUUGCGCGAUUGAAUGAGCCGAUGUCGGAUUAGCUAGUUGGCGGGGUAAAGGCCCACCAAGGCGACGGUCCGUAGCUGGUCUGAGAGGAUGAUCAGCCACACUGGAAAUGAGACACGGUCCAGACUCCUACGGGAGGCAGCAGUGGGGAAUAUUGGACAAUGGGCGCAAGCCUGAUCCAGCCAUACCGCGUGGGUGAAGAAGGCCUUCGGGUUGUAAAGCCCUUUUGUUGGGAAAGAAAUCCAGCUGGCUAAUACCCGGUUGGGAUGACGGUACCCAAAGAAUAAGCACCGGCUAACUUCGUGCCAGCAGCCGCCGUAA
rnacentral:rRNA from 1 species